rnacentral:rRNA from 1 species
UACGUAGGGGGCGAGCGUUGUCCGGAAUUAUUGGGCGUAAAGGGUUCGCAGGCGGUCUGAUAAGUCAGAUGUGAAAGGCGUAGGCUCAACCUACGUAAGCAUUUGAAACUGUCAGACUUGAGUUAAGGAGAGGAAAGUGGAAUUCCUAGUGUAGCGGUGAAAUGCGUAGAUAUUAGGAGGAAUACCAGUGGCGAAGGCGACUUUCUGGACUUAUACUGACGCUGAGGAACGAAAGCGUGGGGAGCAAACAGGAUUAGAUACCCUGGUAGUCCACGCCGUAAACGAUGAGUGCUAGGUGUUGGGGGUCAAACCUCGGUGCCGCAGCUAACGCAUUAAGCACUCCGCCUGGGGAGUACGUACGCAAGUAUGAA